GUUGCACAAAGAAAUUACAACAGUCCAUCAUCAACGCUUUAAUAACUGGCUUGUGGAGUCAAGCGUUCAUAGCGAGUUGCUUUUUGAUCCUUCAAUGUCGACCCCUCCUAUUAUACUGAAGAAGAGCUCGAUAAGCGUUGGAUUGUUCACUCACUAAUAAUGAUCGUGAGCUGGGUUUAGACCGUCGUGAGACAGGUUAGCUUUACCCUACUGAUGAAAUGUUGCUGCAAUGGUAAUUGAACUUAGCACAAGAGAAACUGUUCAUUUAAAUAAUAGGAAUUUAGGCCUGUCUGAAUAGACAAUGCCCCAAAGCUAUCACCUGUUGGAUUAUGGCUGAACGCCUCUAAGUCAGAAUCCGUGCUAGAACGCGACAAUUACCGCCUUUUCUGAUAAUUAGUUGAAUACAAAUAGAGCUUCGGCAGCUGAGAUUAAGCCCACUGUUCUACAGAUUUGUCCAAAAGAACAUCUCUCUCUUCAUUGUCUCUUUUUAGUUUUAUUUUCACAAUGGAUGAGGGAAUAUAAUGAGAUAUAU
rnacentral:ncRNA from 1 species